GCUGGGCAUGGUGGCACAUGCCUGUAAUCCCAACUACUCAGGAGGCUGAGGCAGGAGAAUCGCUUGAACCCGGGAGCUGGAGGCUGGAGUGAGCUGAGAUUGCGCCACUGCACUCCAGCCUGGGUGACAGAGUGAGACUCUGUCUCAA
rfam:Pan troglodytes isolate Yerkes chimp pedigree #C0471 (Clint) chromosome 13, whole genome shotgun sequence.